rnacentral:rRNA from 1 species
GAGAGUUAAACAGUACGUGAAAUUGUUGAAAGGGAAACGAUUGAAGUCAGUCGUACCAACGGGAAAUCAAUUCAUCGAGUGUUGAAUUUGGGUCUUGAAGAGUCUUAAAACCUUUGGGUUCAGAUAUUUUCACUUUUUGAACGUAUUUUCUCGUACGGUAGGUUAACAUCGAUUUUGAACAUUAUAAAAUGAUCGGAGGAAUGUAGCUUCGAUCUUGUAUUGAAGUGUUAUAGCCUUUGGUAGAUGUAAUGAUCGAGAUCGAGGAUUGCAACGAAUACCCUUUUGGGCUAUCUGUCUGAUCUCUGAUACGUUGCCUCGGUAACGAAAGCGUGCUUACGGUAUUGAGGUAUUACGGUCAAAAGGUUAGAACGUGAUUACAUUCGUUAAGGAUGUUGACGUAAUGGCUUUAAACGA